GUGAUGGUGAUUUUCGACUCAUUCCCGUUACAAACAGCCGACCUUCCUACCGAGUUCAAGUACCUUCUGCCUGGCCUGGAAGAACCGUAUCUCUCUGUCACCCUCUUCCACUGGCCCUCACCUGCCCUCCCCUGAACAUGCAUUUUGCCUGAGAGGAGGCAGAGGCGGUUGAGAUGGAGUCUUGCUAUAUGGCCCAGCUGGUAAUGCCUAGAUUCUUGAGUCCCUCCCUGGCUCAUCCCUGGGAGAAGCACCGAACCCCAUGUCUGACACCUGUCCAGAAAUGGAGCCUGCACAUUGACUGUAGAUUCCUUGGCAGUGCCUGGAGAAGACCAGGAGAGGAAGCAGAAUACCCUCCUCAAAGAAGCGGACUUCACCUCCAGACCUCCCAGCGGGACUCAGACAAUGGGGCUAGGCAGUCACAUGCCUGCACGUGGAAAGUUUCUGGGACUGCGCUUGGAUCCCAGCUCUGCCUUUACUAG
rnacentral:lncRNA from 1 species